rnacentral:rRNA from 1 species
GUUUGAUCCUGGCUCAGGACGAACGCUGGCGGCGUGCUUAACACAUGCAAGUCGAACGAUGAACCACUUCGGUGGGGAUUAGUGGCGAACGGGUGAGUAACACGUGGGCAAUCUGCCCUGCACUCUGGGACAAGCCCUGGAAACGGGGUCUAAUACCGGAUAUUGACCUUCACGGGCAUCUGUGAGGUUCGAAAGCUCCGGCGGUGCAGGAUGAGCCCGCGGCCUAUCAGCUUGUUGGUGAGGUAAUGGCUCACCAAGGCGACGACGGGUAGCCGGCCUGAGAGGGCGACCGGCCACACUGGGACUGAGACACGGCCCAGACUCCUACGGGAGGCAGCAGUGGGGAAUAUUGCACAAUGGGCGAAAGCCUGAUGCAGCGACGCCGCGUGAGGGAUGACGGCCUUCGGGUUGUAAACCUCUUUCAGCAGGGAAGAAGCGAAAGUGACGGUACCUGCAGAAGAAGCGCCGGCUAACUACGUGCCAGCAGCCGCGGUAAUACGUAGGGCGCAAGCGUUGUCCGGAAUUAUUGGGCGUAAAGAGCUCGUAGGCGGCUUGUCACGUCGGUUGUGAAAGCCCGGGGCUUAACCCCGGGUCUGCAGUCGAUACGGGCAGGCUAGAGUUCGGUAGGGGAGAUCGGAAUUCCUGGUGUAGCGGUGAAAUGCGCAGAUAUCAGGAGGAACACCGGUGGCGAAGGCGGAUCUCUGGGCCGAUACUGACGCUGAGGAGCGAAAGCGUGGGGAGCGAACAGGAUUAGAUACCCUGGUAGUCCACGCCGUANACGGUGGGCACUAGGUGUGGGCAACAUUCCACGUUG